UACGUAGGGGGCUAGCGUUGUCCGGAAUCAUUGGGCGGACAGAGCGCGUAGGCGGCUAGAUAAGUCCGGUGUGAAAGUCACAGGCUCAACCUGUGAAUGCCGCUGGAAACUGUCUGGCUAGAGUCCGGAAGGGGCGAGUGGAAUUCCUGGUGUAGCGGUGAAAUGCGCAGAUAUCAGGAGGAACACCAAUGGCGAAGGCAGCUCGCUGGGACGGUACUGACGCUGAGGCGCGAAAGCGUGGGGAGCAAACAGG
rnacentral:rRNA from 1 species